GAAUAGCACAGCAAACCUCAGUCUUCCAGCUGUCCUAGUGUGUCCAUACGCAGUCAGAAGUGCACAUUUAUGUCUGUGACUGGAGCCAUGCACAGAGACCCAGGGUGCUGUUUCUUGCAUUUGUUUUUCUGCAAAGUCAGAUCUUCCUUCUGCCACAGGAAGCCUCCAUCUCAGCUGCCUUCAGUUAUACAAAGAUCAGGAGUCUUGUCCAGGAGAGCCAAGAGAAGCAGCCGUCUCUCGCCAGGAGAGCAUUUCAAUGACUCCAGUGAGAGCUCCAGCAGCCUGCUCUGGUGAAGAUUCAGAUGGCCUUUGAAGCAAACUCGGUGCCCUGAAGUGCAUUACUGAGCGUGGCCUUCUCAGCACCCUGUGGUCCCGGGGCUGCCUGAGGAUGAGCCCUUCAAUUCAGCAUGUGUGGAAGAAAGAAGGAUGUCCUCACUGCCUUCAAGCUAAAUCUCAGCUUGUGUUGCCAAACCUUGACAAGAAUUGACAGGAGGUGCUUCUUGCUGGGGAGGCUGACAUUUGAACUCACAGCUUCUCCUGGAAGUAUCAGGAGAUUCUCUCUCUUCUUCUCUCUGGACCCCACCUGCUGUCCACUACCCCACCUGUUUCAAGCUGUGACAUGAAGAGCUCUGGGAAGAAUUCAGUAGAAAGCUGACUUUGCUGCACUGAUCAUCUGUAAUGGGGUGUGGGAACGAAAUUGCUCCUGAUCUCUGGUGAUGUGAAUGCUACUAACACAACAUUUAAAGGCACUACUCACAAGAUAAGAUCAUGGCCUAGAUCCAUGAGUCCUGAUAUUUCAGGGGACCAGUGAAGUAGCUGAAAAAAGAAGGUGGGAUCAGAGGAAGAGAAAGCCAAGUUGGAAAUGUCCUGCUGUUGUUUUAGCCAUGCUCCAGUGGGGAAGACACAGAAAUCAGAAGGAGCUCUGCCCAGAUCUUUUCUGAGGUCAUGAAAAUAGCCCUAUGCUAAAUGUAAUGAGAUACCUUGCUGCUUCCAGAAACUCUUGAGUUAAGAAGAUUGAGCCUGGUGGAAGAGCUGAAGUGCUUCAAAUCAGAAAAAAAAGUUCUGCAUUGUGCUGACAAUGCAAGAUCACACCUCUUGAAGUCUUACUUGUUUAUGGACAAGGAUUUCCCUCCUGGAAACAGUUAGAUGAUCAGGUUUAAAAACACGUAGCAUGGGAGUUCCAGGAGUUAUCUGCUACGAAUAUAUUAUCCACUGUAUUUAACUUGUUUGUUUGUGAAUGGACCAUGAAGCAUACAAAGAUACUUGCUAUUCAGAACUGUUCACAAAAUAAUGAGUAAAUCACUGAAUAUAACUCUUAUAUCUAUGAACAUUUCACUGCAGACUGUCUGUUUGUAACAUGUGGUUGGUCACUUGAAACACAAGUCCUUGUUCAGCUUCUUCAGAUGAGAGAAAUCUUUCUGUUGUAAUACAAGUAAUAAAAAGCCAAAGUUCUGCCUCAGAGGGUACUCUGCAUGUUUAAAAUCAGUAGUUAUUUACUGUUCUGAGCAUUAAGUCCAUUAGUUGCACGUCCUUAAAAAAAAUAUUACGAUGAUGACAAUGGUGAUGAUAAUAACAGCAAUGAUAAUAUGCUUCUUGUGUUUUGCCAAAAAGGUGUAUAGUCUCAGCACAAAGUUAACUCUAGUCUUCAGGCCUCUACUGCUGAGGGGCAGUAUUAUUUGUAAUUUCUACGCUGCAGUGCUAAAGAAGGUAGGGUGGAUUAAUUUCUUCACAGGAGCAAUAGUUUGGGCCCAUUUUGUCCUUCUUCUGGCACCUUUCUCCUCUGGGCUCCAGCCCUAGGGGCUCACCACUCCACAUGGCUGGCAGAGGGAGGAGACCAUUCCACAGCAAUACUUCCAUGCUUACUGCAUGUCCCUGCUUAACCGUGGAGUCCACAGGAUGUCAACGGGGGGAGACCCACAGAGCUCCUGAAAAUGGGAUUGGUGAUGGGAAGGGAUGCUCUUCCUGCUUGCAAAGGUU